rnacentral:rRNA from 1 species
AUGGCCUGCGUACGGGCGCCGUCCUUGGUGGGAAGGAGGGAGAUGAUGGUGCCGAGGACGUCAUCGGGAAGUUUGCUGAUGAGAUCGCCAUGGCUGAUGAGAUCCCCGUCGCUGACGAGCUUAUCCUCGCGGAUCCGCUUCCGUGGCCUGCGCCUGGCGGUUCCGGCGGACGCGCGCCUCUUGGGUGCGGGCGCCGCGGCCGGAGCCUCCGCCGCCUUCUUCCUGACCGCGGGACUCGCCGCCACCGUCCUCUUCAUGUCCGGUCGCUGGAGAAAUGGAGAUCCGAGGCGGGAGCAGGGGAGUUGGGUGGGUUUUUUGUUCCAGCGAUGGCACGGUGGUGCGGCUGCUGCGGGAUGGAAUCCAGAAAAACGAUACCGAUCGAAACAUCUGCCUCCUCAGCGAUUAGAGCAUUCUGGCCGUCUGAUCGGUUUGCUUGAUGCGAUUUUAGACGUCGGAGCGAUCUCAUACGUUGGAUUUCGCCGCUAG